UACGGAGGCCCCAAGCGUUUGUUCGGAUUUAUUGGGCGUAAAGGGUGCGUAGGCGGCAUUGUAAGUCUGGUGUGAAAGGCGUGGGCUCAACCUGCGGACUGCAUUGGAUACUGCGAUGCUAGAGGACUGGAGAGGAGAAUGGAAUUCACGGUGGAGCAGUGAAAAUGCGUAGAUAUCGUGAGGAAGGCCAGUGGCGAAGGCGAUUCUCUGGACAGUAUCUGACGCUGAGGCACGAAGGCUGGGGGGAGCGAACAGG
rnacentral:rRNA from 1 species